GAUGAAACACUCUUAAGUAAAACAGUGUGGUUUGGAAUUGGGCUGCACAUGGUAAUAAGCUGCAGAUGCAUUUUUGCUAGUUGGAUUAGAAGUGAAACUGGAUUCAAAAUUAGUGAUACGCAGUGUUUCAAGAGCAGCUUUUGGGGGUCUUCACUCCAUCACUUCGUUUAGAGGCAGGAACACAUAUGAGCCGAGAGAGCAUUUGAAGAAAGAAAACCCUCUAGGGCUUGGUUCCAGAGCGCGCGAGAGAAAUAAAACUUCAAUGGCUUUUGAUGGUGACCCUGACCGGUGGAGAUGACGGAGAAGCUGCCCGUUCAAGUUAAUCAAAGGGUAGAGAGGAGAGGAAUCUGAGCAAACCAAAUGGGGACCGUCUGAUGGGAGAAGCAUUCAAGUGAAGCAAGGUUCCCUUCUUCCGUUUAUUUUUUUUUUCAUUUUCUUUUUCUUAGAGACCCUAUAUAAAGGGGCUUUUAUCUUGUAAAAAAGGACUUCCACAAACUUUUACAGAGAUACACUUAGAUACUUUUGAGUUUGUGUUUUUUCUAGAAUAGAUAGAGCGAACGCGAUUUCUAGGGUUUCAUCGCAUUUUUCGGUAAACUC
rnacentral:lncRNA from 1 species